rnacentral:tRNA from 1 species
AGAAGUUUAGGAUAUACAGUCCCAGAGCCUUCAAAGCUCUAAGAAGACAUAAAGUCUAACUUCUG